CGGGCGGAGCGGCCGUCGG
rnacentral:snRNA from 1 species